CCCUGACCCUUGAGAGCAGAGUGUGCAGAUUUUCCCUGGUGAUUUCUGACUGCCCAGCAGAUGUUUCAAAGCUACUGGAAGUUUUGGCUCGGGAAGAAGCAAGGUAACUCAGACUGAUAACAGUGAAAUGGAGCACAAAGAGUUUUGGAUAUCAGACAAGAACGCACAUUUGUGACAUCGGAGCUCUUCAAUGUUGAGGUCACCUGCACCGUGGAGACCAGAGACAAGAUCCACACAGCCCAGCUGCGGAACGCGCUGCUGGAACGCUACCCCACAGCCGCGUGGACAGAGCGAUGACGAGCAGAGCACAGAUGGGGCUGAGGCCCCAGGACAAGUAUUUUGUGGAGCACUAAUCUUGAGGCAUUCAGAACAAAUAGUACCUUUUGGGGCUGAACGCUUAGCAAAUAGCUUCAGGAUAUUUAUUUCCUGCUCAAAACGUAGCACGUGUCCUUGGAAAUGAAGUUUAACUCGGAACUUUAGCUUAGCUAAAGGCCAUUUAAUAGUUUCUGCUAGUGUUGGAAUUCUCAGCUGGCUCACUGUUUUUUAGUAGAACGUAGAAUCCUAUGGCAUCCAGUGAAUAAACAGGAGAAGGCAUUUUUCUUGAUAUUUGAAUGUAGACCAUUGGGUUUUUGGAUACUGAUGCCACUAUUAAAGCAAUGUAGCUCCUUCUGCUGGGUUCUCCUAUAUCACUAGUACCAUCCUUUCUAUUUCCAAGCCAGAAGCUGAAUCUGCUUCAGGGAGGACAUAAGUGUGUGGGAGUGUGAAUGUAUUUAAGUUUGCAUAAGAGCUCUGCUAUCAUGAAAAAAUACUGUGCUAAUAAAAUGCAAUAUAAAGAAACUCU